rnacentral:rRNA from 1 species
GAUGAACGCUGGCGGCGUGCCUAAUACAUGCAAGUCGAGCGAGCGGACGAGAAGCUUGCUUCUCUGAUGUUAGCGGCGGACGGGUGAGUAACACGUGGAUAACCUACCUAUAAGACUGGGAUAACUUCGGGAAACCGGAGCUAAUACCGGAUAAUAUUUUGAACCGCAUGGUUCAAAAGUGAAAGACGGUCUUGCUGUCACUUAUAGAUGGAUCCGCGCUGCAUUAGCUAGUUGGUAAGGUAACGGCUUACCAAGGCAACGAUGCAUAGCCGACCUGAGAGGGUGAUCGGCCACACUGGAACUGAGACACGGUCCAGACUCCUACGGGAGGCAGCAGUAGGGAAUCUUCCGCAAUGGGCGAAAGCCUGACGGAGCAACGCCGCGUGAGUGAUGAAGGUCUUCGGAUCGUAAAACUCUGUUAUUAGGGAAGAACAUAUGUGUAAGUAACUGUGCACAUCUUGACUGUACCUAAUCAGAAAGCCACGGCUAACUACGUG